GGAGAAGGAGGAGGAAGAGGAGGAAAACCUGGCCUGGUGGUGGAGACAAGCGGACUCAGGAAUUCCGAAGACCGCUUCAGUCAACAGGAAACGGGACAGGGGCUGGGAAACCGGAGUUACGUGGUGCGACCCAUUUCAGGGGCCCGAGGGCGGUGCUGGCCUCUGCAGGAAGCGAUGGUGGCAGUAACCAUUGGUAGCAUCAGCAAUGGCCUUGCCCCAACGCUGAGCCCCAUUUCUCCACGCCAGGCACGUCCAUCAACUCAUUCAAUCCUAAGGAGCCCUCAAGGUUACCCUCAAGGUCACCCCCAAGGGAGCCACGAGGAGGAACCGAGGCUCCACGUGAAGUAUGGUAGCAAUCAUCUCAGGAAGAAACUGCUGUUUUGGAUUCUGUACUCACUUAAAAGUUAUUUUGAUUUUCUGAACUUAUGUAUGAUUGAAUGCUCCCCUGAUAGCGGUUUGAAUAUCCCAUUGAUUGUGAUCUCACUGGUCAUCCAAGCACAUUCCUGGGACCCAAGACAGUUCAAUUAUCCUAAAUUGCCUUAGUAGCUACAGAUAGUGCAUUCCUGUUGACUCAGUGAUCCCAGAAUCUGGACAGCACAAUUAUUCUAAAUUGUCCAGGUGGUCCGUCCCAGAUAAUGUGUUUCUGUUGAUUCAGUGAUUCGUAGAUACUUCAGAUUACUAACUUGCUCAGUUUCACUUCUGUAAAAUCCUGAAACAGGUUCCUCAUUCCAGACCCAAAGAUGUAAUCGAUACCUUUGUGAUAGUCUGCCGAUAUAAGCCAGACGUGGCGAGCUGUUUGGGGCUUCGAGAUUUGGAGCUUUAGCCCCUCUUAUGCCACCUGCCUUUAAUAAAUGACUCCAUAAUUGGA